UCAUAUACAUCUUCGUGUAGAAAGUCUUAGAAUGUUUACUAUCAGAGAGUCGCGACUUCUAGGAGACGCGAAACUCUGAGAUAAAAAGUUAUUACAACUUUCAGCAAUGGAUCUCUUGGCUCUCGCAUCGAUGAAGAACGCAGCGAAAAGCGAUAUGUAAUGUGAAUUGCAGAUCUACAGUGAAUCAUCGAAUCUUUGAACGCACCUUGCGCUCCUCGGUGUUCCGAGGAGCAUGCCUGUUUGAGUGUCAGUAAAUUCUCAACCCUUCUUGAUUGAGGGAGUUUGGAUAGUGGGGGUUGCUGGAGACUUUUAUUAGACUCGAGCUCUCCUGAAAUGCAUCGGCUUGCGGUCGACUUUCGACUUUGCGCGACAAGGCUUUCGGCGUGAUAAUGAUCGCCGUUCGCUGAAGCGCAUGACUGAAGGUUUCGCGCCUCUAAUACGUCGACUCUUAUUAUCUCUUCGGAGAGAAAAGGUCUUCUUUAUUGACUUUUGACCUCAAAUCAGGUAGGACUACCCGCUGAACUUAA
rnacentral:rRNA from 1 species